rnacentral:lncRNA from 1 species
CACAUGAGGGAAGAGCACCAGGGCACCGUGCCUCCAGUGUCUAUGCAGCUCUUCACCCUCCCAUGGGCUUUUCCAGAAAAAAGAGGUUGUGAUCCCUGUGUCAGAGCCAUCAGGACAUGGGGUCUGCCUCCCCCCCCAGCCCUCCUCGUGUUUUUGGGUUUGUCAUGAAGUUACCAACAUCUGCUCUGUGUGAUGGUACACCUCCAAAGCCACUGGUAAAGAAACCAGACUGAUGCCCCACCUGCACAUCAUUCCCUUUCAAUGUCCCACUGUCUCCCUUCUUUUUUCUUUGGGUUUUUUUCUCUAAUAUUACAGGCAACACCCAGCAAAGCCACAUAUAAGGAAUGCUGUGGUGAAAAGUUUUCAGGGCACACAGCAGACUGUGCUGGCUCCAUCCUGCAGACGGGAGGAUUGCAGGAUCAAGCCCUGCAAACACAUUUCUGGCCAUGUUGCAUCUUUUGGGGACUCACCACAGCCUGACCCAGGAGGGCCUGCAGUUGGCUGCCCUCCCAUGCGAGAGCUGCCUGUGCAGCUGGGAGCCCAGUAUGAUGCCCCACCACCAGCAGCUGCCAGCUCAUGGAUACAGGUACGCACAAGCUCAGCUGUUGCUCUAUCAGCAGUGAUGGUUUCAUGUUAUUAGAUAACAGUUAAAAUAGGGCAGGAUGUGUUAUGGAAAGGGAAUGGGAACCCUCACUGUGCUUUUACCAACCCACCCAACUUCAAGGAGCUGCAACAGAGAAGGACAUUUUUGCUUUUAACCAUAUUUUAACCAUAUUGGUAAGCUGGCCCAGAGCUGCUCUGCUGAUUUCCCUCCGCUCUCGCCAGGGUGUAUUUGUGUGAUAACUGUGUGUUUGUUUCUGGAUGCCUUAUGCUGUGUGUGUACUAUCAUACAGUUCUGUUCGAUGCUGGAACUUUACAAAAUGUGAUUAUUAUUACAAACUAAUGCUUACGCACAACAGUGUGACGUUGGCUCCUGCAUCCCAAAUAGCCGGUGCCUGGUGGCUUGAGUCACACGAGGUGCGCAGCAGCUGAUUCCUGGAACAGAUCCCAGAUACCACAGGUAACCAUCUCAAGCUUAUGCUGCAGACCAGGCAGUUCUUUUGAGUUUUGUUUUUAUUUAAGUGUAUUCACCAAAA